GGGUGUGUAGCCUAAUGGUUAAGGCGUUGGUUUUCGGCACCAAAGACUGCAGGUUCGAGUCCUGUCACACUCG
rnacentral:tRNA from 2 species